GGAAUAUUGGACAAUGGGCGAAAGCCUGAUCCAGCCAUGCCGCGUGAGUGAUGACGGCCUUAGGGUUGUAAAGCUCUUUCAGUGGGGAAGAUAAUGACGGUACCCACAGAAGAAGCCCCGGCUAACUCCGUGCCAGCAGCCGCGGUAAUACGGAGGGGGCUAGCGUUGUUCGGAAUUACUGGGCGUAAAGCGCGCGUAGGCGGAUCUUUAAGUCAGGGGUGAAAUCCUGGGGCUCAACCUCAGAACUGCCCUUGAUACUGGAGAUCUUGAGUCCGGAAGAGGUUAGUGGAAUUCCCAGUGUAGAGGUGAAAUUCGUAGAUAUUGGGAAGAACACCAGUGGCGAAGGCGGCUAACUGGUCCGGUACUGACGCUGAGGUGCGAAAGCGUGGGGAGCA
rnacentral:rRNA from 1 species